rnacentral:rRNA from 1 species
AGCGAACGCUGGCGGCAGGCCUAACACAUGCAAGUCGAACGAACUCUUCGGAGUUAGUGGCGGACGGGUGAGUAACACGUGGGAACGUGCCUUUAGGUUCGGAAUAACUCAGGGAAACUUGUGCUAAUACCGAAUGUGCCCUUCGGGGGAAAGAUUUAUCGCCUUUAGAGCGGCCCGCGUCUGAUUAGCUAGUUGGUGAGGUAAAGGCUCACCAAGGCGACGAUCAGUAGCUGGUCUGAGAGGAUGAUCAGCCACAUUGGGACUGAGACACGGCCCAAACUCCUACGGGAGGCAGCAGUGGGGAAUCUUGCGCAAUGGGCGAAAGCCUGACGCAGCCAUGCCGCGUGCAUGAUGAAGGUCUUAGGAUUGUAAAAUUCUUUCACCGGGGACGAUAAUGACGGUACCCGGAGAAGAAGCCCCGGCUAACUUCGUG